rnacentral:lncRNA from 1 species
CGCAUGAUGUCCUCUUGAAUGAAAGCCGGUAAACUGCAGACUUUCUUUUCUGAGAUGUGGGAGAGUGUAAAGUCUUGUCGUUGAAACUAACCGUUGGUAUCAACCGGCUCAAGCUAGGUUUCAAUGUUUUCUCUUGAGAGGUGCGUUUUUGUUCCUUCGAAUUUUUGAAGCUUCCAACAGUAUGAUCCAAUAGUUUCUUCUUGUUGUUUCCAGUGACAACUGAUAAACCAUUAAGAUCUUUGUAUGAACCUAUGCUCAUAAACUUUUCGGUUUUACAACCGCUAUCAAUCUUCAAAUAACUCUUAUGGUAUUCUUCAUAAUUUCCUUUUUCAUCAACAAUGCAUGAAGAAGCCUCAAACUGAACCACUUCACCAUUCUCUGACCAAAUAUUAUCAGCUGGUAAACAAAACUAAGAUUAUAUCAAUUCCCAAUACCCCUAAGCGGAUCGUGGAGAAUUUUAACUGAAGACAUUAUCAUGAACUAAGUUAAUCGGAACACUUUCAUAGUAUUUGAGCUAAUUACUUGAUAAACCAAGGUUUGGAAGUUAUUAUUUAAAGAACGCGAUCCCGUCCAUCGUAAUGCUCCCAAAUCCCAAUAAAAUAAAAGAAAGAAACAGCCAAACACUUUCAUAAAUGUAUGAAACUUACCUUCAUGUAGGCUGAUAAAUUCAUCAUCCGAGUCCGAAAACAUAUUUAAAGAAUCAUACCAAGCAUCAUUUUGAUAAACAUCUGCAAACAAAAAAUAAAAUCAACAUUUUCAGCUAUAUCUUUAAAUAUUAACAAAAAAUCGAUUUUCACAACGCUCCCUAAUGAUACUCACCGAAAGCGGCUUGGAUUCCGACAUCACUUGCCCGUCUAAUCUUUGGAUGAGAGAUGACAUCAGAGACUUUAGAAAUGUGUUUGGAAAAUCUGCGACGGCCUUUCCUCUUCCAUGGCCUAAUGCUUUUUGAAUGUGUUGACAUACAUGUACCCAUUUUUCUUAUUAUAAGUUUAAUUUAUAUCCUGCCAAAGACACAACAAAUACGUUUUCUAUAAGCAACAACUGUGAUUUUUUUUCCUCAAAAGAGAGAUAGUUAGGAAAUAAGAGCUGAACAAGCUUGUAACAUAAUCAUCCCUAGAGAUAUUAAGACGUGAUUUUGUAGUUUACUUUUACAUUGGAUCAAGUCAUUGCCUGACUUUGUCUUCAACAUGUAUUAUACAGGCUAGAGCAUCGAAUACAAAAUUCUUUUGAAUAAUAAUAUUUAGCCGUCUUCGAAAACAUAGAAAACUAGUUUAAAAGACAAAGUGGGACUCAUGAAGAUUUAGCAAUAACAUAUAACAAGAUUAAGACAUGUAAGAGUUUUAUAUCAGGUCAAAAACCACAAGUGGAAGUUUCCAGGAAACUCGAUCAAACAAUACUAUGUCAUUAGAUUCCAACAACUUGUUUUUCUUUCAAAAGGUCAUAGUAUGGUGAAACAAAAGAACUAAACAAGGUUCGUACAUUAAACCAAACCUUAAUGCUAAAAAAACCUCGAAACACUUUCACGGCUUCAUACAAUUUGGUAGAAAACGAUAUAUUAAUUUGAAGAUUUUUGGGAUAUGGAAAAAAAAUUUAUGUGUCCAGGAUCAGCAUUUUUGGCGAACAAUAUUCAGAAUUUUCACUGAUAGAUAUUACAGAUUUCAAUUAUAAUGAGGUUCAUGUAAUAACAUUUUCGCAUAAAAUUUGAAUAGAGCAAUAUGGCAAGAAAGUCAACAUCUCAUGCAAUAAGUUGAAUAUAAAGAUUCAUUGAACAUUACAUAUCACAUGGCUAAUGCAAUGCAUCGAGAUCGAUAUCAAUUCUUGGCUGAAUUGUAAUAGAUCCAAUUAUGUACAAAGAUCAAGCAUAUGACCAGCAAUGUAUAGAAUGGAGUUAUGAAAGAAAAAAGGAUUUGUUCAAAUGUUUUUUUUGGUUUGUUCAAAAAAAAUAUUUUGGUUAAAAAAAGUGGUUAUCCGUUAAAAUAUAACCGAGAAAAAACGAACGAUGGGAGGAAGAGAAAGACAAACAUAAUGCGUUGGGUCAUGGGAUAGGACCCUCAAAAAUCGGAUCCAAAACACAAUCACCAAGGAGUUUUUUUUCAAGAGUUUACAAGUCCACGUUGAAUCAAUUGAAAGGCAGAUAUAAAUAUAAAAAAACAGAAGUGUACUUGAAAUAUGUUUCUCCACGUAGUUUAAAACUUGAAGGAGGUAUCUCACACCAAGUUCCUGAGGAUUGUUGUUUCUCUUUGGCUAAACAAGGAACCGUGAAUCCUGCUUUUGGACGAUAUAAGAAGCUCUUGGACGACCCUUUUAUAUCAAAACAGGUAAUGUUAAAACUAAGUGCUCAUUACACAAUAUCAGUGCCGGUUUUACAACCUAGUAAAACAUUUUCCCUUACCCCUAAGUUUUAAAGAACUAUCACAUAAGCCACCCCUAAACUGUCAAAAAAGUUUUUCUUAUUAAAAUUAACCUAAAAUUGUUUAUGUCUCCUAGAGCUCAUAUCCGGCUUUGCACAAUAUGUACAUAUUGACUUUGAAAAAACUUACUAUGCUCGACGACUUCCUCACCAUCGCAUGAUGUCCUCUUGAAUGAAAGCCGGUAAACUGCAGACUUUCUUUUCUGAGAUGUGGGAGAGUGUAAAGUCUUGUCGUUGAAACUAACCGUUGGUAUCAACCGGCUCAAGCUAGGUUUCAAUGUUUUCUCUUGAGAGGUGCGUUUUUGUUCCUUCGAAUUUUUGAAGCUUCCAACAGUAUGAUCCAAUAGUUUCUUCUUGUUGUUUCCAGUGACAACUGAUAAACCAUUAAGAUCUUUGUAUGAACCUAUGCUCAUAAACUUUUCGGUUUUACAACCGCUAUCAAUCUUCAAAUAACUCUUAUGGUAUUCUUCAUAAUUUCCUUUUUCAUCAACAAUGCAUGAAGAAGCCUCAAACUGAACCACUUCACCAUUCUCUGACCAAAUAUUAUCAGCUGGUAAACAAAACUAAGAUUAUAUCAAUUCCCAA